rnacentral:rRNA from 1 species
GAUGAACGCUAGCGGGAGGCUUAAUACAUGCAAGUCGAGGGGUAACAGGGGCUUCGGCCCGCUGACGACCGGCGCACGGGUGAGUAACGCGUACGCAACUUACCUCCAAGCGAGGGAUAGCCCUGGGAAACUGGGAUUAAUACCUCAUGUGAUUAUGAUGCCGCAUGGUGUUAUAAUUAAAGUUCAGGCGCUUGGAGAUGGGCGUGCGUCCUAUUAGCUAGUUGGUGAGGUAACGGCUCACCAAGGCGACGAUAGGUAGGGGGCGUGAGAGCGUGGCCCCCACCACGGGUACGUGAGACACGGACCC